rnacentral:rRNA from 1 species
GACGAACGCUGGCGGCGUGCUUAACACAUGCAAGUCGAACGGAAAGGCCUUUUCGGAGGUACUCGAGUGGCGAACGGGUGAGUAACACGUGGGUGAUCUGCCCUGCACUCUGGGAUAAGCCUGGGAAACUGGGUCUAAUACCGGAUAGGACCGCACUUUAGUGUGUGUGGUGGAAAGUUUUUUCGGUGUAGGAUGAGCCCGCGGCCUAUCAGCUUGUUGGUGGGGUAAUGGCCUACCAAGGCGGCGACGGGUAGCCGGACUGAGAGGUUGGUCGGCCACAUUGGGACUGAGAUACGGCCCAGACUCCUACGGGAGGCAGCAGUGGUGAAUAUUGCACAAUGGGCGCAAGCCUGAUGCAGCGACGCCGCGUGGGGGAUGACGGCCUUCGGGUUGUAAACUCCUUUCGCCAGGGACGAAGCGUUUUGUGACGGUACCUGGAGAAGAAGCACCGGCUAACUACGUG